rnacentral:rRNA from 1 species
UUUACUUUGUCGCACUUCUUUCUCCUCAUCGAGCCAAAGAUCUCGAACAUUAUUUAAAACGAUCCAUUAUCCGGCCUAGUAAAUAGGGAGUCACUUAUCGAGACCCUCAAAACCCCACCUGGACUUUUUUGAUGUUGAUAGGGACCGGCCAUCCCCCACUUGCCAUCCAAAGCCUCUUUUUAACUCCCUUAGCAGGCCACGCAAAGCUUUUCCAACGUAUGAAGGUUUAUCGACCCUUUUAGGAUUGAAAGGGUCCCCCGCAGGAAGUACUUGGCAGAGAGCACCGCAUUAACAUAGAGAAUCUUUAUGGCUAAACCAGGCCGCCAGAGUUGUCUGCCCAAGAGAGCCAAGUUGGAAAAAGUUUAAGGUUUUUAACCCCAUACCUCCCAUCCCCUUGGGCAUGCAACACUUUAUCCAAUGAAGCAUAGCCCAGCCUUCUCUCUUUUUUGUUGGCUAGCUACCAGAAGUUUUAAAGCGGGAUUCUCCUUUGUCCCAUAAUGGCCUUUUUUGUGGGAGGAAGAAACACCGAAAGGAAGUGGGUCGGCAAAGAUUGGAGGAUCGCUUAAUUGAAGACGUCCUUCCUCCCAAACGAGAGAAGUCCGCUUCGACCAACCGUUGAACUCUCCCGAAGAAAUACGAUCCACCAUAUCUUUGAAAGCAUUAGUCUUCAUUCUUACCAAUCACCACGAAGAAGCCAAGAUGACGAUUUCCAUCGAAGUCAACGACCCUCAUGCCCAACUGUUCUCUAAUGUUCAACCGUUUGCAUUCCUGUGAGUUUGGAACUGAAUGAACAGGGAAGACUUUUGGCGUUAUUUAAUCUCCUCUACGGGAUGAACCGGGAAGCCGGGUUACGGUGCCAACUACGCGCUAACCUAAACCCACAAAAGGUGUUGGUCGAUUAAGACAGCAGGAACGGUGGUCAUGGAAGUCGAAAUCACGCUAAGGAGUGUGUAACAACUCACUGCCGAAUCAACUAGCCCGAAAAAGAUGGCGCUUAAGCGCGCGACCUAUACGCCGGCCGUCGGGGCAAGGGCCAGACCUGCGAUGAGUAGAGGGCACGGCGGUCGCCGCAAACCCGGGGCAACGAGCCCGGGGCUGAGCGCCGUCGGUGCAGAUAUUGGUGGUAGUAGGUCAAAUAUUAAUGAAACUUUGAAGGCCGAAGAGGGGGAAAGGUUUCCUGUGAACGGCACUUGCACAUGGUUAGUCGAUCCUAAAGAGACUGGGGAAGCCAUCCGAUAGCGCGUUCAGCGCGAGCUCGAAGGGGAAUCGGGUAAAAUUCCUGAACCUGGACCGCAGUGGCUGACGGCAACGUUAGGGGAGUCCGGAGACGUCGGCGGGGGCCUCGGAAGAGUUAUCCUCUUUUCUGUUUAACGGCCUGCCCACCCUGGAAACGGCUUUAAGCCGGAAGGUUAGGGUCCGCCGGCCGGAAGAGAUCGCACUCGCGAGGUGUCCGGUGCGCCCCCGGUGGGCCUUGAAAAAUCCGGAGGACCGAGUGCCGUCCGCGCCGUCGUACUCAUAACGCAAUCAGGUCUCCAAAGUGAAAGCCUCUGGUUCAAUGGAACAAUGUAGGCAAGGGAAGUCGGCAAAAUGGAUCCGUUAACCUCGGGAAAAGGAUUGGCUCUGAAGGGCUGGGCACGGGGGUCCCAGUCCCAAACCCGUCGGCUGCCGGUGGCACUGUUUCGAGCUGGCUGUAGCGGCCGAAGCGGGUCGCCGCGUGCGGCCAGGGGACGGACUGGGAUAAGGCUCCCUCCGGGGGCCUUCCCCGGGCGACGAACAGUCGACUCAGAACUGGUACGGAACAAGAGGGAAUCCGACUGUUUAAUUAAAACAAAGCAUUGCGAUGGUCUCUGCGGAUGCUCACGCAAUGUGAUUUCUGCCCAGUGCUUCUGAAUGUCAAAGUGAAGAAAUUCAACCAAGGCGGUAAAGGCGGGAAGUAACUAUGAACUCUCUUAAGGUAGCCAAAAAUGCUCGUCAUCUAAUUAGUGACGGCGCGUGAAUGGAUUAACGAGAUUCCCACUGUCCCUGUCUACUUAUCCAGCGAAACCACAGCCAAGGAACGGGCUUGCAGAAUCAGCGGGGAAAAGAAGACCCUGCUGAGCUUGACUCUAGUCCGACUUUGGUGAAAAAAAAAUGGGGGAAAAAAAAAAACUUGAGAGGUGUAGGAUAAGUGGGAGCUCUCGGGCGAAAUUGAAAUACCACUACUUUAAACGUUAUUUACUUAUUCCGUGAAUCGGAGGCGGGGCACGGCCCCUCUUUUGACCCAAGGCCAGGCUUGUCGUCGAUCCGAGCGGAAGACAAUUGUCAGGAGUUGGGGAGUUUUUGGCUGGGCGCACUCUGUUAAAGAUAACGCAGGUGUUCCUAAGAUGAAGCUCAACGAGAACAGAAAUCUCGUGUGGAACAAAAGGGUAAAAGCUCGUUUGAUUCUGAUUUCCAAGUACGAAAUACGAACCGUGAAAGCGUGGCCUAUCGAUCCUUUAGACUCGGAAUUUAAAGCUAGAGGUGUAGAAAAAGUUACCACAGGGAUAACUGGCUUUGUGGCAGCCCAAGCGUUAUCGGACGUUGCUUUUUGAAUCCUUCGAUGUCGGCUCUUCCUAUCAUUGUGAGCAGAAUUCACCAAGUGUUGGAUUGUUCACACCACCAAUAGGGAAAGGGAGCUGGGUUUAGACCGUCGUGAGACAGGUUAGUUUUACCACUACUGAUGGCCGCGUCGCAAUAGUAAUUCAACCUAGUACGAGAGGAAACCGUUUGAUUCGCAACAAUUUGUCCAUCGCGCUGGUUUGAAAAAGCCAGUGGCAGCGAGCUACCGUGCGCUGGAUUAUGACUGAACGCCUGCUAAGUCAGAAUCCGGGCUAGAAGCGACGGCACGCGCACCGUCGCCCGAUUGACGACCCGCAGAGGGGCCCUGCCCCAAAAGGGCACUGUCGUAGGGUGCAAGCGACCGCGGCGGACAAGUCGCGGCCGCCUCCUUGGAGCGUAAUUCCCACCGAGCGGCGGGUAGAAUCCUUCACUUACUAAGUUUGGGUUUGACUCAAUCGAUAAAUAAGUUUAAAUUUUUGUUUAAACUCGAUUUUAAUAAAGAUG